CAUGUUGAUGUAUUGAUAUACUGCAAAUUUUAUGAAGUGUAAGUGUCCUUUUUCAAAUUAGUUUUAGUUUAAUUUCAAUUGGAGGCAAGUGUUUCAUUGUAAAUCUCAAUAUAAAUUUUUUUAUUAUUUUGGAAAAAUUUAAUUGAAGUAUGUCGUGUUUUAUUUCUUCUAGCUUCAUUGGACGCCUUGUACCCCAUUCAGAAUGUGCUGCCAUCUUUUGUGGGUUAUAGGUCUACAAUCAUUAUGUCUCAAUUUUAAAAUUUAGCUAGAGAAAAUCCAGUAACAGACCAAUUUUAAUAGUACUUUUCUCUUUUCAAGAGUGUAAUUGAGAUGCUUGAAGUGAAAAUUAGAAUUUGUGUGCAAUUUCAACACUGUAUUGGAAGAGAUAUCAUUAUCCAAACAAAAUCUUUCCACGCCUCUUGAUUGUAUGAAAAAUCGUAAAUUUGAUAUUGUUUGUAUUGUGGUAUAUGCAGUUGGCAACUAUACACAUUUCCAGAUAUUGUUUUCAAGUUGAUGUUAACUGGCUCUAGUUUCUGGGAAAGUAUUAUUUUCUAUUUUUAAUCAUGUUGACAAGUGCUAACUGUGGAGUGCUGUUUCCUGAUUUCUCGGCCUUAAAAAAUAUCAAAAUUUUUCUUAACCAAGCAACCAUGCCAUUCUGGUUUUGUCUCUGGUAUGAGCCCACAGGAUUUGAUUGAAAUAUAGAAUAAGGAUUAUUUUUGACAUAGGCCCCACCAAUAGUUCCAAAUAAAUACAAAAUUAUGAAAUGUUGGGUUGAAGCUUCUUCAAUUAUCAAAGAUUGAAAGACGUUAUUUUGUGUGAAUGAUUGCAGGGUUUAGUGAUAGAGAUAAUCCAAGAUUCAAUAUCAGAAGAGGAUAAGAGGUUGAUCUAUCUUGGAGAUGGAAGUGGAGACUAUUGUCCAAGUUUGAGGUUGAAAGAGAAGGACUUUAUGAUGCCAAGGAAGAACUUUCCAUUGUGGGAUCUGAUAUGCAGAGAUCCUUCACUUCUUAUGGCUGAGAUUCAUGGUUGGAGUGAUGGAGAAGAACUUGGAGAUGGAAGUGGAGACUAUUCUCCCUUCAUUUCCUCUUAUUGCAAGCUUCAGACUCUGUCAAUCACUACUCAUGAGACUUUGCCCAAAGCUCUACCAAUUCGACCAUAGUUUCAUGGUUUUGUAACUUUUGCAAUGGACCAAAGUAGAAUAUAACAUGACUAACUUUUGUCUCAAUAGUAUAAUAAUAUAUAUUGCAUAGUCAGUUACCUCUGCCUUAAUUUCUGUAAUAUCCGAUGACAAUCUAGUUACAAUGAGAUAGGACCAUCCAGUUGUAAAAAUCACGUUUUAAUAAAAAUUGAAAGAU